rnacentral:rRNA from 1 species
CUGAUAUUAAAGGCUAAGCCAUGCAUGUCUAAGUAAAAAGUCCUAGAAGGAUGAAACCACGGACGGCUCAUUAAAACAGUAAUAGUUGAUUCGAUCUGUAAGCAAAAGGAUACCCUAGUGAAUGAUCAAAUUAAUACUUGAUAUUCUCCUUUGAGAGUGAAUCUUAGAGGCCCUUAGUAUGAAAAUAUUAAGGCAAGGAUAUUUCUUAGAGUAAGAAAUACCAGCUGUAAUUGAUGAGCAAGGUAUUGUUUUACUAGUGAUCGAAUUGAAUUUCUGAUCUAUCAAUUUGUUGGUAGUAUAGAGGACUACCAAGAUUAUUACGGAUGACGAGGAAUUAGGGUUUGACAUCGGAGAGGGAGCUUUCAAGAUGGCUACCACUUCUAAGGAAGGCAGCAGGCGCGAAAAUUACCCAAUGGGAGACCCUUGAGGUAGUGACGAUACAUAACUCAAGUAGGAGAUAAUCUUAUUUGAAGGAAUGAAUAAAGAACAAAGAUAUAUACUAAAUCGAUUAGAGGGCAAGUCUGGUGCCAGCAGCCGCGGUAAUUCCAGCUCUAAAAGUGUAUAUUAAAGUUGUUGUGGUUAAAACGCUCGUAGUUGAUAUAGACCGUUAUGAUGAGUUUGAAACUGUCCACGGUGUAAAACUUUGAACGGAACAAACAUCUAAAGUUAUAACAAAGGGCUAAAAGCUAUGUCAAAGUAGUUGUUAUAGAUUUCUUUGAAAAAAACAGAGUGCUCAAGGCGGAUGUUAAAUGAUGGAUGAGUGAGCAUGGUACAAGACUCAUAGGAGAUAGAAAUAUUUUGGAGUAAGAUUAGUAGGAUUUACCGGGGUGAUACAGAAAAUAAUGGGAGAGGUGAAAAUUCAUGAUCAUUAUAAGAUGUCCAAAAGCGAAAGCAUUUUACCAGGAUAGAUUCAUUAAUCAAGAACGACAGUUAGGGGAUCGAAGACGAUUAGAUACCGUCGUAGUCCUGACUAUAAACGAUAUGGACCAAGGAUUGAAUAGAUCAAAAGGUAUAGGAAUGAAAAUUUUCUAUACCACUAUUUUAAUAACCUUUGCAGGACUAUAGAGAAAUCAAGAAGUUCCUGCAUUUCAGGGGGAGUAUGGUCACAAGGCUGAAACUUAAAGGAAUUGACGGAAGGGCACACCAGGAGUGGAGCCUGCGGCUUAAUUUGACUCAACACGGGAAAACUUACCAAGACCGAACAUUAGAGGGAAUGACAGAUUAAGGGUUCUUUCAUGAUUUAGAGGGGAGUGGUGCAUGGCCGUUCUUAGUUCGUGGAGUAAUUCGUCAGGUUAAUUCCGGUAACGAACGAGACUGAAACCUAUUUAUUAGUAUUCUCCCUGUUAGGGAGAAUCGUAUGUGUAAGCAUACGCAAGAAACAUUGAUUUCUUAAAGGGACACGUUUUGAUAGAUUACUCUCGAGUUGGCAACCACAGAAAAUGUGGUACUGACCCAGGAGUCGUUUAAAGAAAGGGAAGCGUUCAGCAAUAACAGGUCUGUGAUGCCCUUAGACAUCUUGGGCCGCACGCGCGCUACAAUGGAAAAGGAAAAGAGUACAGUUGGAAGAUUACUUUUAUUGGGACGUUGUUUCGAUAAGAAUGAUACUAUUUGACUGACCGAUAUUGAAAAGUGGAGGGAAACUCAAAUCUUUGCACAUGACUGGGAUAGACGAUUGGAAUUAUUUGUCUUGAACGAGGAAUUCCUUGUAAUAUCAUGUCACUAGCAUGAGAUGAAUACGUCCCUGCCCUUUGUACACACCGCCCGUCGCUCCUACCGAUUGAAUAAAGAGGUGAAAUUCUAAGACAUCAAUCAGAAAUGAAUGAGGAAAUGGAUUUAAACCUCCUUAUUUAGAGGAAGGAGAAGUCGUAACAAGGUUUUC